CUGAAAAUGUCCUUCAAAAAAUUCUAUUGAUUUCAUUAAGGUUUAUACCAUUUCCUUCUGGAAGAUUUGUAUUGUUCUUCUUCAGAUAAUGAGAUUUUGUUACUAUUCUGCUACCCUAAUUUGUCAGAUAAGUUAUCAACACAAUCGGAAUUUCGUUUAUUUGCAGAUGAAAAUUAUUGUUAGGGUUUCUAUAGAUUAAUACUGUCUAAUCAUAAUUAUUCUUCUUCCCUAAUCGCAUGAUUGAGAUCCUGUACUAUUCUUUUUCCUUUGUAAUUUUACUUAUUCAUGCCCUAAUUUCUGUAAUUAGACCAUUGCCUUAAUUUCUAUUGCAGGAUAAUGAAAUAUGGUACAACGUUAAGGACUUUGGAAUCACAUCGAUCUGGGAGGCCUAGGGGUCGUAGGUACAGCUUGAAGCCUCUUGUGUCUAGACUAUACGAGCUCCUUGGACUCAAGGUUGAAAUGGCAAAUGGUUGUGUCGGGAGAAAGUCCAGGAUUUGAUUAAUGCAAUUCCUGUUUGCGAGCAAUCUAGCAUCUAUUGCUGACAUUUAUGUUAAUGCUUGUUUUCUAACUGCUCACGGAACUGAUAAUUCCUGGGUAGGAGUUACUAAGUUCAUAAGGCCGUCUGUGGAUGGAUUCCUUGUGCUCAAGUAAACAAAGGCAUCUCUUCCAUGGUCGGAUCAAAAAAGGUCACGACACAGAAAAUAUCCAAUAAUCUGAAGGGCCAAUCAUGGAUGAUUGUUGCAGUCCUGACUUUGAGUCGAAUACUUUUACCAGGAAUAUGGAUGACAAAUCAGAACGUGAAUGGUAAAGAAGGGAACAUACUGGUGACUGGAUAUGUAGUGAGCGAUUUGCAAGGUAAAGUAUGUCACCACAGACUUAUUCCAAAGAAUGAGCGAAGGUUUUUGAAGAAUGUGUCUAAAAUGCUUCUGCACCAAUCUGGGACCCUCCUCAAGGUGAUGAUUAUUGGUUGUGGUUGGGUGAUAUGGAAGGAAUAAGAAGCGGUUGUAAUCUGUAAAAUAAACUUUGUUUAUUAUAGUCACAGAUAGUUAAGAUCAAUUCCAAGCGAAGAGUUGAUAAUUUUAGGAAUAUUUGUUAGUUUUUUUCUUUAUAUUUAGGUUUUAUGAGUACUUAAGAUAUAUACAAGUUGAUGUUUAAACAAUUUUUUUUUGUAUUAGUUUUAUUGCAGCACUAUGUUUUUUAAA